GUUUUUUUUUUUUUUUUUUUUUUGGCAUGGAAAACUUUAUGUGCCAAGAUUGUUAGCCACACUAAGAGCAGCAGAGAGGAUGACUCCUCUUCCUCUCAUCUGUCACCUUCACUGCAUAGGUAAUGAGUUCACUGGAGAGAGCAAAGUAGCUGCAGGUCUCUUGGGAGAAAAACAAGACUUUCAAUAGCCUUUUGGAAGAGAAUGAUAAUUACAGUAAGAUGUAGCUAAGUGUCCUGGCUAAUUUACUGUCAACUGAACACAAGCUAGAGUCAUUUGGGAAGAACCCUCAAUUGGGAAAAUGCCUCCAUGUUAGUAAACAGCACUCCUCCAUGGCCUCUGCAUCAGCUCCCGCUUCCAGGUCCCUUGAGUUCUUGACCCAACUUUCCAGGACGAUGGACUACAAGCUACAGGAUGAAAUAAGCCCUUUCUUUCCCGAGGUUUCUCUUGGUUGUGUGGUUUUACCAUAGCAACAGAGACCCUGUCUAAGAUGCUAGGUAAAAAUGCUAAUUAGAAUAAGGUUGUGGGGAGAGGGGGCAGGGCAACAUGUGAAACUAAUUGAGUACUACAAGAUGUUGAGAAAAGAGGACAGAAAGAAAUAUCCCAUGCUGAACCAGAACUGGUUAUGUGUGCUUUGACUCAUUUUGGCAGAAUACAUGGUGAGAUACAGUUUCUAUCAUGAGAUGGGUCCUACUAUGAGACAGGACCACAAAAUAAAGAGGGAAAAGAAGGAAGGGGCUGGGCGGGGAGACAAGAGGAGCACAUGGAUAUUAAAGGGUGACCAUUUGGGACUGGACAGCCAUUUCCUAUGAACUUCCCUGGGGAGGCCCUCCUCUCCCAGCUUCCCUCAGCUGCCUCUGGGUAGGGCUGGUGCCUUGUGGACUUUUCUAUCCACUUUGGCGUGUCCAUUGGUGAGCAGGUUCUAUUUAGGAAUGUAUAUGUACACACAUGUAUGUGCCUGCAGGAGCCAAAAAAGGAGGCCACGAAACUGAAGAAGAACAAGGAAGGGUUAUGGGAGGGUUUGGAGGGAGGAAGGGAGAAAUGUAGUUGUAUAUUAAAUAUAUUGCAUUAUAUUAUAUUACACUCUCAAGACUGUAUAAAAAUAAAAAGGGUGGUUGACUUAUGAAGGCUCGGUCCGAGUCAAUUUAUUAACCCACUCAUGAAUUAACAUGUCAGUGGAUUAAUAAGUUGUUGCUUGCAUGUUUUGUUAUAGCCACGCUCCUUGUGCUCAGCUUGCUCUGUGUUACCAUGGCCAUCACAGAUGUCAGGCAGAUGCUGCCACCAGGCUCCAGAACCUUGAGGAAAUAGAUGAUUUCUUUAUAAGUUUUCCUCAUCAAUUAUGUCAUCUGUGGCAUUCUUAUGGCAACAGAAAAUGGACUAUUCUAUGAUUAUAGGAAAUUAUAGGUCACAACAAAUGAUAAAGCUUCUGGAAUAUAACAGAGAAUGUCUUCAUUAUGACUUAAGAAAAGCUGUGCCGCAGAUCUAGCCCAGGGACCCCGCAUACCAGGCAAACAUUCUCCCAUGGAGUUGCAUCUCCAACCCUUUCAUUAGGAAUUUCUCGAUGGUAAACAAAAUUCCUUUAAAAAUUACAGAGCACUAAUCCUAAAAUGAGAUUGAUACAUUGGUGCAUUUUAAACAUCAGGGUUUCCUUUUAAAGAGUGGUGUGGUGGUUUGAAAAAGAGUGACAGCCCCUACCCCCCCCCACACACACACACACAGAUUCACACAUUCGGAAGCUUAGCCAUCAGGGAGAGUAGUUUCCAAAGGAAUGACCUCAACAAACAAAGGAAGCCUGAAGGUUUUAUCUGGGGGCCUACCCACAGUCACAUAAGAAAACACAUUAGGAACAAGCAUAGUCUAUGGAUGCUCACGUUCCUGAAUAGUUACAGUUUAGCAUCAUUGUCUUUGUUAAGGUUUCUACUGCUGUGGUAAAGACCCGACCAAAGCAACUUAGGGAGGAAAAGGCUUUAUUCAGCUUACACUUCCAGUUAAUAGUCCAUCACUGAGGGAAGUCAGGCCAAGAACUCCAGCUGGACAGGGACCUAAUACAGCAGGAACUGGUCAGAGGCCAUGAAGAGGUGCUGAUAACUGCCUUGCUCUCCAUGACUUGCACAACCUGCUUUCUCAUACCACCCAGGACCACCUGCCCAGGAGUAGCACCAUCUACAAUGGGCUGGUCCCUCCUGCAUCAAUAACUAAGCAAUACAAAGCCAAGCAGCUGAAACAGUUCUGAAAUUGAUCCAUCCUCGAACCAAACACCUUUAUUUACAGAGGAAAUCAAUAUGAGCAGGUUAUUAAGCGCUUUGAAUAGGCACUUCAGUGCACUAUGUUCUUCGGGAAGGAUCAUCUAUAGUGUGCCUGCCUCCAUAACAAAAAUAGAAAAGAUAAUGUGGUUUUGAUUUUCUUGUGAAUUUGUGGGUUUUUCAAGACAGGAUUCCUCUGUGUAAACUUGGGUGUCCUUGGAAAUUGCUGUGUCAACCUGGCUAGCCUCAAACACAGAUCUGACUGCCUUUGCCUCUCUAGUACUGGGAUUAAAGGUAUAUGUCACCACUGCCCAGCCUAUUCUAAUUUUUUAAUGGAAUUUUUCUAAGUAAGUAAGAAAUUAUAUUUUAAGGAUCUCUUAUCAAUUCAGUCCUAGUUUCUGCCUCUGUAAAAUUACACAUAUUAUCUACAGUUAAUAAAUUAACCAACCUGUAACAGU
rnacentral:lncRNA from 1 species